CGACCACAUGAGGUCGAAAUUCCAAAUUAAUUUUUUUUUUAUUUUCUUUAGGAUUUUGACCACAUGGGGUCGUUUUUUUACGGGAAAAUAUGAUUUCGACCUCAUGAGGUCGAAUUUUUUUUUGUACAAAUAAUAAAUGAAAAAAAAUCAUUUUACACAAAAGUAAAUUAUAUAAAUAUAAAAUAAUUAAUUAAAAAAUUAAAAAAAAAUCAAAUUUCGACCGCAUGAGGUCGAAAAAAUUAAUUCAAAUCUGGUCAAAUCUGGCUUAAUUUUUUCGACCACAUGCAGUCGAAAAAGUUCAAUAAAUAAUACACCCACACAGGCCGAUGAAAAUAUUUCAUCUCCCUCCAAAACUUUCUCUUCUCUUUCAAAAAAAUUUACCCUCUCUAAACUCAUCUUCCCCAAAAUUCCCACCACCCCACCAACACCGGCAUUCUCCAAGUAGGCGACGCCGUCCAGUUAAACCAUCGGAGUAGCCACCAGCCGCCGCCGACUGAACAGUGAGCUGGUUGAAUAUAUUGUGAAAAAAAAAUAUGGUUGAAGGAAGGGACAGAUUAUCCAGGCAAGAAGAUCCAAUAGAAGUUUACACUCGCAGACACCGUCCACCACUACCACCGGAGCAGCCACCAGCCUCCACCGACUGAACAGUGAGCUAGGGGGAAGUGAUUAGUUUGAAUCAACAAAUCAGAAACUUUGAGAAUGUGACAUUGCUAGAGUUGGAGGAGCAGCUAGGGUGCAAAAGCAAAGAAUCACUGAAGGAUUACUUGUUUGUAGUGGGAAGUGGAGGAAAUGACUACUCACUCAACUACUUCCUGAGCUUAGCCAACAACAAUAUUACUAUUCAAGAUUUCACUGCAAAUUUGACCCUUACACUCUCUCACCAACUCAAGAGGUUGUAUAAUAUGGGAGCUAGGAAAUUUGUGGUGAUGGCAUUAUAUCCCAAUGGGUGCAGCCCAAUGGCCAGAGGUAGAAAUCCGAUGACUACUGGCUGCAUAGAAAGUUUGAAUAAAGCUGCCCUUCUAUUCAACACUAACUUGAGGGGUUUGGUUGAUUCCAUUAAGUGCUACAACGAAGAAGAAAUAUAAGUUACUUUCUUAUAGAAAGGUAGUUGCAGAUAGAAAAAAGGAAAAAAGAAAAGAAGAAAGAUGAUAAAGAGUAUGUAAAUCGGAAACUUUGACUUCGAUAACAAAAAAUCCAGCUUGAUGAUGCUGAAACUUUACAAAUCUAAUCUCAAUGCCACAUUCUUCUUAUUAAUUAGGAAUUUUUUUUUUUUUUUUUUGGCCUGCUUGUGUAAACAUUUUUUAGUCUAGAAGAAUAUUGCUGGCUUUGAUGUCCCUAUGGAAUAUAGGUGGAUUAGCUUCUGUAUGGAGGUAAACUAUGCCCUUUGAGUUAAAGGUUGAACUGUUGAAGAACACUGGAACUAAAAGAAUUUGAGUUAUUUCUUGAUUGUUGACUCUCAGACAUUUACGACUGUUCCAAAUUCAUGUUGCUCCUAUAUCCCACUAAGUUUUUAUAACUGAUACAGUUGGUAUACAAAUUAAGCUAUUUUGGUCUUCUCUGUACUAGUAUGUAUGUCUCGUUCAACAUUUUUUCUAACCU